GUCGUCGCGAGGCGGGGUCUGAAGGAAGCUGUAAGCAAAGUGCCGGCCUGACGAACAGGAAGCGCAUAGGAGGCGUCCGCAUCCGGGCGAGGGAGCAACGAAGCCCGAAGCCCGAUAUCACCCGGAGGGUGCGGCCGUAUAUGGCCGCGCAUCAAGGAAGAGCUGCUGGC
rfam:Ensifer sp. LCM 4579 contig_1, whole genome shotgun sequence.